rnacentral:lncRNA from 1 species
AUGGGGGCAAGGGUAAGACAGAGGCUCAUGGGAGCAAACCACCCCCCGCCAGGAAGAGCCACGAGUAGCAAGAACUACGACACCACCACAGGGGUACCGCGGGGCUGGGGCGCCCUCUCGCCCCCCUCCCCUGGAGGGCCAGAGGCACACAACCGGAAUGUGCUGGGGCUCUGGACGAGCUAUCGAUCCAGAUCAAGGGCACUGCGAGCUGGUGUAUGUGUUGGGGGCAGGGGGGUGGUGGGAAUCCAGACUAAUGGGAACAAGGACACAGGGAACAGGCCUGCUGCGGCUAUAACUUGGGCUCUGUUCUGCCACGGUGCAGAGCAGCACCGCCUGCCACAUGACAGUCAACAGGCCUGGUCCUCUCUGGAAGAAAGCCCUCAGAGGGGAGCCCGGCUGGAUCCCUGUGAGGGAAGGCGCUCAGAGAAGGGCACUAAGGACCGAGGACCAUGGGCUGCUUCCUGGCAGAGGGGAGUCGCCCUUCAUCUCCUCAAGUCUUCGUUUCAGUUUUGCCAGGCAGGGGAGACCAUAAAUCUUCUCUGGAGCCCACGCUGGAGUCCGCCAGGGAGACAGGCCGCUCAUCUCUUCCGGACAUCCAAGGGUGACUCUACGGACGCCUGGAAGACAUGGGGAGAAGGGGAGGAGGGACGCGAUGAUGGAAAGAAGCGGCCAAGCAUGCUGGACGUUUCCCAUGGCUUCCUCUCUGUAACACCUAAGAGCAGGAGGACUCCAGGAUGCCGUCGGCUGAAAGGCCCCCGGCAGUCUGGCGAGGUGGUCGGGAGGGGUAGGGGUUCGGUUCGAAAGGUAAAGCAGGAUGUACAAGCCCCCACCCCCUUCCCCGGAAAGCCUCAGGGCAGUGGGAAGGAGGCUGAGCAGAGCAGGUGGCCGGGCUGGCCCUCAGCACCGUGGGCGCGACAUCAGGGGGGGGAAGCUGUGUGGGAGCCCUUGGAAAGGAGAGGUGCCCGGACGUGGAGCCCUGCCCAACAGGCUUCCUGGUCGAGGCCACCGUGA